rnacentral:snRNA from 1 species
GUGCUCACUUCGGCAGCACAUAUACUAAAACUGAACAAUACAGAGAAGAUUAGCACGGCCCCUGCGCAAGGAUGACACGCAAAUUCGUGAAGCAUUCCAUAUUUUU